GCGCCGGUAGCUCAGUGGUAGAGCAGGGGCCUUUUAAGCCCAAGGUCGUGGGUUCGACCCCCACCCGGCGUA
rfam:Candidatus Thrbacteria bacterium RIFCSPLOWO2_02_FTLL_53_10 rifcsplowo2_02_scaffold_31861, whole genome shotgun sequence.